rnacentral:rRNA from 1 species
AUAAUAAAGAAAGUGAAGUUUCGCUCUUAGAUGUUUGUAUCUCGUGCGUGGUAGUAGUUAGGAUUAGAAGCCUAACUAGCUAAACGCACGUAGUCGUAACUGAAAGGUUGAUCGACCACAGUGGGGCUGAAGAAAACCCAUGACGAUUGUCACAGCAGUGAGGAAUUUUGGUCAAUAGCCUGACGGCUGAACCAGCAACUUGGAGGAAUGUAUAGCAAUAGCUACUUGUAUCAUUAAUGAUGCAAGCUCGACUAUGUUGAAUAAAGUUCUAGGUAGAAUUAUGAUAAUGACAUUGUCUGCCUAUGUGUCUUGACCAAAUUACGUGCCAGCAGUCGCGGUAAUACGUAGAAGACUAGUGUUAUUCAUGUUUAAUCGGUUUAAAGGGUACCUAGACGGUGAAUCAAGCUUUUAAAUAAAUAAGAAAAGGGACUAAUUCGCUAGAGUUACUUACGAGGGGGCUUUAAAGUACUGCUGGUGUAGAGAUGAAAUUCUGUCAUACCUCUUUUCGAAAGAAGAAUAACGGCACAGGUAUAGGCGAAGGCAUCUCCUUAUGUGAUAACUGACGUUGAGGGACGAAGGCUUCGUGGAACAAACAGGAUUAGGUACCCUAGUAGUUGAAAGCAGAAAAUGAUGAAUGUCAUAGAUUAGACGUCUAAGUUUAUUCUAUAAAUGAAAGUGUAAGCAUUCCACCUCAGGAGUAAUUUGGCAACAUUGGAAUUGAAAUCAUUAGACCGUUUCUGAAACCAGUAGUGAAGUAUGUUGUUUAAUUUGAUGAUCCGCAAAAAACCUUACCACAAUUUGAAUAUUUAUAUCGAACAUAUAUUUACAAGCGUUGCACGGCUGUCUUCAGUUAAUGUCGCGAGACUCUGGUUAGUUCCAUUAAAUUAACGCAAACCCUUACUUUAUUUUUUAUAUAGAGUAGUUCCCCGCUAUAUUGGAUAUGAUAA